CCUGCGGUUUAAUUGGACUCAACGCCGGACAACUCACCGGGGGCGACAGCAAUAUGUAGGUCAAGCUAAAGACUUUACCUGAAUCGCUGAGAGGAGGUGCAUGGCCGUCGUCAGUUCGUACUGUGAAGCAUCCUGUUAAGUCAGGCAACGAGCGAGACCCGUGCCCACUGUUGCCAGCAUAUCCUUUUUGGAUGAUGGGUACUCUGUGGGGACCGCCGAUGCUAAAUCGGAGGAAGGUGCGGGCUACGGUAGGUCAGUAUGCCCCGAAUCUCCCGGGCUACACGCGGGCUACAAUGGUUGGGACAAUGGGCUCCUACACUGAAAAGUGACGGUAAUCUCAUAAACCCAGCCGUAGUUCGAAUUGAGGGCUGAAACCCGCCCUCAUGAAGCUGGAAUCCGUAGUAAUCGCGUUUCAAUAUAGCGCGGUGAAUACGUCCCUGCUCCUUGCACACACCGCCCGUCAAACCACCCGAGUGAGGUAUGGGUGAGGGCGCGGACUUUAGUGCUGCGUUCGAACCUAAAUUUCGCAAGGGGGGUU
rnacentral:rRNA from 1 species